rnacentral:rRNA from 1 species
GACGAACGCUGGCGGCGUGCUUAACACAUGCAAGUCGAGCGGUAAGGCCCUUCGGGGUACACGAGCGGCGAACGGGUGAGUAACACGUGGGUGACCUGCCUCUAGCUCUGGGAUAAGCCUGGGAAACUGGGUCUAAUACCGGAUAUGACUCCACGGCGCAUGUUGUGGGGUGGAAAGCCUUGUGUGGCUAGAGAUGGGCCCGCGGCCUAUCAGCUUGUUGGUGGGGUGAUGGCCUGCCAAGGCGACGACGGGUAGCCGGCCUGAGAGGGCGACCGGCCACACUGGGACUGAGACACGGCCCAGACUCCUACGGGAGGCAGCAGUGGGGAAUCUUGCGCAAUGGGCGAAAGCCUGACGCAGCGACGCCGCGUGAGGGAUGACGGCCUGG